rnacentral:lncRNA from 1 species
AUUGCGCAUGCGGGAAACCCACGCUGAGGGAAGAAUCAUGGGAAAGAGUAGAGACGGGGUUCCACCGUGUUAGCCAGGAUGGUCUCGAUUUCCUGACCUCGUCAUCCUCCCGCCUUGGCCUCCCAAAGUGCUGGGAUUACAGGCUUGAGCCACCGCGCCCCGCUCUUUCGUGUUCCAAAGGCUUUUUAAAUAAACUUCCACUCCUGUCCUGGAUUCUGCUUUAUGGCCCUCAGUCGAAUUCUUUCUUCUGAGGAGGCAAGGACUGAAGUUGCUUCUGACCAGUACAGGAGAAAACGAAUACAGCAGGGAUGACUUCCACCAGCUCCACUUUGCAGCUCUGAGGUGUAUUAAAAAUGACCUGGAAGAAGUCAUGCCACGGGCCAGACCUUAACAUUCCUUUCGGCUUACCCCAGGAUUUCAGACAAAGCUUCACUUUCCUAACCAGUCACAAAUCAGAGAAUUUUUGAUUCCACCUAUGACCUGUGAGCUCCUGCUUCAAGAUAUUCCACCUUUUUUAGGCCAAACCAAUGUAUAACCUCCAAGUGUCGAUUUACACUUUCGACUGUAACUUCUGCUUUCCUGAGAUUUACCCCUGCCUUUAAAAACCCUUGCUUGUAAUCCCUCAGGGAGGCCGUGUAUUUAUUAAUCAUGAGCUGCCCAAUUCUCCUUGCUUGGUGCCCUGCAAAUAAACACCCUCUUUUCUCCCACUGCAA